CCUGCAGCCGGGCGAAGUGACGCAUCAGCUCCUGGUUCAGGUUGGUCUCGUUCAGCUUGGGAGCAAGCAGCAACAUAGACUGGAGAGCGAGAAACAGAGAAGAGUUGACAGCUACAGCGGUCCAACAACACCCUGUGCACAUGGUUGGUGUCUGUGAAGCCGUGAACAACAUGAGGGAAAAUCUGGGAGUUGACUGCUGCCUCAUUCAGAUACUGAAUGAACUGCUCCAUCUGAGAGAGAGAGAGAGACGUGGAACAAGAGAAGAAACAAUGGUGGUAAAUGAGAAAAUUAAAAACAUACACAAAAAAGCCUCACACACCUGCUGCAGCAGUCGUAUCCUCAUGGCUCUGUCUGUGGAGGAAAACAUCUUGACGAUAACAGGGAUGAUCUUCUGUUGGUACUCUUCUGCUGACAGGAACUUCCCCACCUGGCAGACCGACAGAGGGAGAUGAGAUGAGGGAAAUAUUUUAUGUUGCAGACUCCUAUCUGAUGUUUAAUAAAGUUUUAAAGUUGUGCUGGGAGGUUUGGACUCACCUUGAAGAGCGGUGUGAGGACUACGGCGCCGGCAUUACCAAACUCGA